rnacentral:rRNA from 1 species
UGGCGGACGGGUGAGUAAUGUCUGGGAAACUGCCUGAUGGAGGGGGGUAACUACUGGAAACGGUAGCUAAUACCGCAUAACGUCGCAAGACCAAAGAGGGGGACCUUAGGGCCUCUUGCCAUCGGAUGUGCCCAGAUGGGGUUAGCUAGUAGGUGGGGUAACGGCUCACCUAGGCGACGAUCCCUAGCUGGUCUGAGAGGAUGACCAGCCACACUGGAACUGAGACACGGUCCAG